rnacentral:lncRNA from 11 species
CUCCUCCCCCUCCCCACCUCUUGGGCUAAGUGAGUGAGGCUUGUUUGUGAGACGGGUUUUCCCGAAUUCUCACAGCUCUAAUCUGGAUGCCAUUUAGUGUGACAGGCUCCUUCCCGGGUUCCCACAGCUGGUAUCAGCCAACAGGUCUCUCCUCUUCAGAUGUCAUGACCAGAAUACUUAUUGGCAGCACAAUUCCCAGAAUCCCCCAGCUAUCAUGACCAAUAUCUAUGAAGCUGAAAGGUGUAAAUGGAAAGGUUCCCAGACACAUCAAAUGCCUCACAUGCUGGGGCUAUCUGAAGGACGACUACUUCCCAUAUCAGCCCAACAAAAUUUUAGGAUCUGCAAGGCAGCCACUUCUCUUCAUCCAUCACCUUUACAAGGAUGGCUGCUGGCAACACAGGCAAAGAAAGGCCUUCUCCGUGGCUGCUCCCACAUUUUGCAGUUCUCUCCUUUGGAUGUUAGAAUGGUUCCUUCUUUGUUUUCCUCUUAGAGACAAAUUAAGACUUCCUUUUGUGGUGGAGUGCAGGUGUUAAUUAAUUUUAAUUCUGUUGUUUUAAAUACCAUUUUGAUUUUGAAUGUGCACAUUCUAAUUAUUUGUGUUUUAUUUCUUUUUGUAAACUAUCUCAAGUUCCAGCCUUGAAGAAAUGUGGGAUGUAAUUCAAGUGAUGGAUGGAUUGAUGUGGUAUAACAAUUUCUCUGAUUAAGAAUACAGACAAACCUUUACUUCUGCAGGCAUGAGCACUGGAAAGAACAACAGCAAAUGUACAUUAACUGCUAGCUGCUGAUGGAGCCAAUUGGCUAAUGCCUGUGAUAUUACAAGGGUACCACCCUCAGAAGUUUGGCAACUGUUUAAGACUCUUCCUUCUCCGUGCUUUAAGGGAAAUGUAUGUCUAAACAAGGAAAACUUUCUUAUAAAAAGAAGAAUAAGGGCAUGAAAGUGCAACAUACGUGGUUGCAGAAAAAUGUGUGACACCAUGGUAUGCUUGUUGUACGAAAUGGCAAGGUUGGGGGGGAAAACCAAAGAUUUUGGGAUAUUUUACACAUGUCCAACUAGGGAUAGGUUACCUUUUGCUCCUGAUUGUUUUUGAGAAGAUUUCAGUAAAAUUAACUUUAUUUCAUAAUUCAGGGCAGGUUUUUAAAAUAAAACCUCCCAAAUGUGUGU